GAAACACGUUCACCAAAUACAGCAUAAAUGUCUUCUAUUAUUCUUUUGCAUCUGAUCCUGUAAACACAGAAGCCUGUACUUUCAUCAACAGUAGCUCACAGAAUGGGACUGCACUGUUGCCAGAUCCAUAAUGCUGAAGGUCUCCUUUCAGAUGACUUUCAGAUAUCUUGGCCAUGGCUUUUAUGGAGGCCAAAUGCUGUUUUCUUCAUCUGAAAGGAGUGGAAGAUUCAGAAACACACCAUUUUUUAAGC
rnacentral:lncRNA from 1 species